rnacentral:tRNA from 1 species
GUCAGAAUGGCCGAGUGGUCUAAGGUGCCAGACUCAAAUUCUGGCCCACGUGCGUGGGCGUGGGUUUGAACCCCACUUCUGACA